rnacentral:lncRNA from 1 species
AAUUGUUGUUUCUUCUUUUUCUUAUCCUUGUUCUUCUUAACAACACCAGUGUCAGUUUUGGUACUAGAUUUCACCCCUGCUAAUCCUUCCAAAACAGUAUCAAGGUCAUAUUUCUCCCCUUCUCCUUCAGUAAUAUAUUGAUUGACUCUCCUUUCCUUCCGUGACUCCUUGAUUUCCUUCCGUCUUCUCAUGUAUCGAAGUCUUGUAGACUCCAUCUUAAUUCAAAUGUUUGUUAUACUUUUAAAUCCAAAAUACAACUGUUUGACAUAAAAGAAAUAGUUUAAUUUAAAUAAUAAUUAAUUGAUUAAUAAAAAGAAUCAACAUAAGCGUCGCCAUUUUUAAAAUUUAAAUGUAUAUUAUAAUGACGUACUUACAUAUGACUUAAAUACUAAAUUAAUCAAAUAUUUGUUUUGUGAGCGUGGGAAAAUUUUAAAAAUAUAUACAAAACAAAACCAAAAACUCCAAUUCCACCACUAAAAUUUCUGAUCCGGAGUUCGUUCCGUGAAUUUGUUGGUGUCUUGCACAGCUCAGUGCUCAGUAAAGUAUGCAAUAUAGAAAUCCUUGUCUUUCU